UUGCUUUGGCACCAAAUACAGUAACAUUGGAACAAUACAGAGAAGACUAGCAUGGUCCCCUGUGCAAGGAUGACAUGCAAAUUUGUUAAGCAUUCCAUAUUGGA
rnacentral:snRNA from 1 species